rnacentral:tRNA from 1 species
GCGGUCGUAGCUCAGUUGGAUAGAGCACAGGAUUCCUAAUCCUGGGGUCGUAGGUUCAAAUCCCACCGAUCGCACCA